CUCGCCUUCCAACGCCGGGUGACAUCUGCCGGCGCUUCUCUGGCUUCGGCCAGAGUGGAGGUGAACUUUUUCCUCAACCAUGUGGACAGCAGAAAGCGGCGAAGCGCAAGACGGACAGUGGGAAGAAGUAUAUCAAUACUUCCUCCUCCACGACUAGAAGACGUUGUCCAGGAGGAAAGCAGACGGGCUGUGUCCAGCUUCCACCAGAAUUACAGUCAUCCUGCAAAAGAUGGCAGCACAAACUUGACCCACCCUUCUGUUGUCCACCAAAACUUCUUGCAGCUUUCUUCUAAUAAGGGGCAAUGCCUCCAGAAAUCCAAGUCAAAGACUGCUCAACAGGCACGAGGACAUUGGCAAGCCAUUGAAGAGCCUCAGAUUGGAGAAUUACAUGAUCCAUCUCGCAGGUGGCAAGGAGCUGCCCUGAAAAGCCCCAGGUGCAGAUGAUUCACAGGUGAGUUCUCUUGAGUCCUUAGGAAAGGGAUAACUCCAGUUCCAUUUAAGCUGUUAGAAAGCACAGAAAAGGAAACUAUCCAAAUGCUUUUAGUAAAGUCAUCAUAACACUGUUGGCCACUGUGACCAAGAAACCUCAGCAAAAAGAAAACCACCCAAGCUUGUUUAUAAGUAUUAAUACACAAAAAUCCUCAAAAUUUUAGUAAGUAGAAUUCUGAAGCACAUGAAAAGAAUGACUCACCACCACAAACUGGCAUUAUACAUAAAAGGCAAGAAUGGCUUGAUUUUAGUAAUUAAAUUAUAGUUAAAUAUGUUGAAAGAUAAAAGUGGAAGAGACAUGAUUAUCUCAGAAGAGACUGUGAAGACACCUGAUCAAUUCACCAUAUAUUCUCAAUUUUCUUUAAUUCUUAGUAAAAUUGGAGUAGAUAGAUGAAUCAACCUCAUUCCUAAUGGUGAGAUACUGGAAACAUUUCCAUUGAAGUUGAGAACAGUAAUUCUAGGGAUGCAUUAUGAACAACUGGGUAAUAGAAAGAGGUGAGAGGUGUAAAUAAAAAGGAAGGAGGCAACA
rnacentral:lncRNA from 1 species